GGGGGCAGAUGCCAGUGGAUGCUGAAUGAGGAAACACCUGUAGAAGUAUUCAAAGAUCACAUGGCUACAAGGGGCUAAGUAACCUGGCAGGCACAUGCGGAGCACAAUAUGUCCUUUACUGAAGUCCAGAUCACAGUAUAAACCCACGGCUCUGGGAGUGAAGCUCAGCACCCCUUCAUGGAAGCUUACUAUUGUCCGCAAGCUGCCGUCACCUUCCCAGGGGUAGCUCCCGAUUUCUCUGCAUUUCUAAUGGACAAAGCUUGAAAAUGCAUGUGUCUACUUGCACCCUCCACCAGCUCCUACCGGGUUGCUGACUUCUGCUCCUGCUUCCUAGAAAAAUGCUGGAAGUCUACAGCGGUGGGCUACAGGGGCCACAGAUACACAGAACAAGCAGUUGAACACAAGCACUGUGAUUCUGAAGCAGCUGAUCAGACAGCCUAGACGUCUACUUACACGAAUGGUGGCUGAGGAGCACAUGCAGUGUGGAUCUGCUGGAGAACACGGCUAUUCCCAUCUCAGCUUGACUGGAGUCUGGAGGUAAACAAAGGUGGAAACAUGUCCUCAGCUUGGCAAAGUAUGGCUGUGGUGGAGACCAUAACAGCUCAUCACAACACUCUGCAUCUUGGUUUUUACUGGUGUUCUCUUUAAGCAGUGUGGUUGCCUUCAUAAGCCCACAAAGGAAAGAAAGCAACAAAAAUGACAAAAUGAAGCUACAGAGAAAGCAUGGCUAUUGAAGCAGGUGGGAAAUUGUUUUUUAAUAAUCAGAAAUCCAUGGAGAAUAUCGAACCAGCUUUGCCCACAGACAAGCAGCUGCCUGUGGAAGCUUCAGCAGGCUCAGGUGCGACCAGUGAUAAACUUCUGCUAUUUUUCAUGCUGUGAAAUUCUGCGCUGGAUCAUCUCUCUGCCACUAUGGAAAGAACCCACACCUCCUAGCAUUUUGUUUCUCUUUCUCUGCAUGUAUCCCACACUUUUCCUCAGAUUGUGUGACAAUGAAAGUCUCCGAUGGACUUCUAAGUGAUCCUAGAGUCUGCAUGUGGCUGGUGUGUGUGCGUGUGUGCUUGUGUAUAUGCA